rnacentral:rRNA from 1 species
AUUGAACGCUAGCGGCAGGCCUAACACAUGCAAGUCGAGCGGAGCGGCGGACGGGUGAGUAAUGCCUCGGAAUCUGCCUGGUAGUGGGGGAUAACGUCCGGAAACGGGCGCUAAUAUCGCAUACUAUCAGAUGAGCCGAUGUCGGAUUAGCUAGUUGGUGGGGUAAAGGCCUACCAAGGCGACGAUCCGUAGCUGGUCUUAGAGGAUGAUCAGUCACACUGGAACUGAGACACGGCCCAGACUCCUACGGGAGGCAGCAGUGGGGAAUAUUGCACAAUGGACGAAAGUCUGAUCGAGCAAUGCCGCGUGAGUGAUGACGGCCUUCGGGUUGUAAAGCUCUUUUAGCGGGGAGGACUUGCCCGCAGUAGAAGCCCCGGGUUAACUCGGGCCAGGCGCCGGGGUAAUUU